rnacentral:lncRNA from 1 species
ACAAGCAUGGUAGGAGAAGAAGAAGUCCGGUGAAGAAGAAGAAAGACGCCAUGGCAAUGCUGAGAAGAUGAAGCUUUUUUUUAUUUCAAAGUUUGAAAGUACAAACUAUUACAGUCGCUAUAGGUCUGCGACUGUCAGAGAGGAUAAAAGAGACGCUGCACUUAUGUCGGGUUUUUAAACACAUACAGAAUCACACAAGCCUCCUUAUUGCCUUUAUUUACCAUUAUGCCAUCAUUGGUCUCCCCUGUCGAGUCAUGCAAUGCUUUUACAUUUUGUUAUAAUUAUUUACUUGUAUUAUAUAAGACAAAUUACGAUCGUGUGGAUAAGAGAAGAGAGACUCUGUUGCUUUAAGGCUGGCAAAAGAAAAAUUAAUGAUGAUAAUCAAUGAUGGCAGUGUGAAUCGUGAAUAUUCGUGAUGGUUGUUUGUCGUGUUCCGAGGAUGUAAUUUUGGGUGGAUUUUCGGGCGUUAAUACUAGAGAUUAACCCAUGCCGAGUCCGACCCGACCCACCAAAAUAAAACCAAAAGUUUAAAAUUUAAAUUUAUAUUAAAUAAUAAUAAACUAAUAAUAAUAACUUAAUAUAAUAUUAACUGCAGAUAACUACUUUCCCACGCACAAGUUCCGGUUGGAGUGAACCGGGCAAACACAGAUUGGAAGAAGAAGAACCGUUUGAACCUUUAUUGUAAACCAAACUGACCGGUUUAUUUCCCAUCCCAUUUCCGCUAUAGAGUGAGACACCAGUGGCUUUCUUUUUGUUUCCAAGAAACACGUAAGCCGGGAAGUCGCGAUCUAAAGUGCCGGCACCAACGGUCAGGAUCCACGGAGCCACGUUGGCAAGCGAGGCCUUAGUUGGCCCACUGUUUCCGGCAGAGCAAGAGACCACAAUGCCCUUCUCCAUUGCCGCAAACGCACCGACAGCAAUGGUGUCUCUGUAAUACGGUGCGGAUCCACCACCGAGGGACAUAGAGAGGACAUCCACACCGUCCUGAAUGGCCCGAUCUAUGCCCGCAAGAAUGUCGGAUCCGAAACAUCCAGUUUUCCAGCAAACUUUGUAGGUGGCCACACGCGCGUGCGUGGCCAUUCCACGAGCGACGCCGCUGGCGUAACCGAGGAGACUGGCAUUGGCGACGGGUACGCCGGCCGCCGUACUGGCCGUGUGGGUACCGUGUCCGUCAUAAUCACGAGGCGACUCGGGUUCGUUUGGCUUCUUAGAGAAACUUCCACCAGCCAUGUGGUAGCCUUUGGAGAAAAAACGAGCGCCAAUGAGCUUUUUGUUACAAAGUUUGGGACUAAAAUCAGGACCGGACUCGCACUGGCCGCGCCACUUGGUUGGAACCUCAGGCAUGGCGGAGUCAUCGAAACUUUUAGACUCGGGCCAAACCCCAGUGUCGAGAACACCAAUGAUAACAUCAAGGGAGGCCUUGUCGAAGUCGAGCUUGCUGUAGCCUGCCAACAAGCCGAAGUCAGAGCUGAUGCCGAGGAACUGAGGGGACCGAGUAGUGUGGAGGGUGUAGAGAGUGUCCUCGUAGACUCCGAGAACGGCGUCGGAUUGGCGGAGAGCCUGGGCUUGAUCUGGGUCAAGUGAGGCAGCGAAGCCGUUGUAUGCGGUGUUGUAGGUGUACAGAAGAGAAUCUGUGGAAGAUGAGAGAGACUGAACGCUCGAUGCGUACCAAUCGUUGUGGGUGGAGAAAGUUGAUGGCUUUGCUUGGUGUUUCAUGUGAACUAUGUAGGUUUGCUUGGCCGCCGUCACUGAGAGUGACAAGCAUGGUAGGAGAAGAAGAAGUCCGGUGAAGAAGAAGAAAGACGCCAUGGCAAUGCUGAGAAGAUGAAGCUUUUUUUUAUUUCAAAGUUUGAAAGUACAAACUAUUACAGUCGCUAUAGGUCUGCGACUGUCAGAGAGGAUAAAAGAGACGCUGCACUUAUGUCGGGUUUUUAAACACAUACAGAAUCACACAAGCCUCCUUAUUGCCUUUAUUUACCAUUAUGCCAUCAUUGGUCUCCCCUGUCGAGU